GUGACCGUACCAAAAACCCCAUCCUGUUUAAGACUUCUGUGCUGCCAAGUGAAAAGGGCAGAUAGCGCCUGGUGGCGAGCGCUUCCCUCCUUCCCCCCAAGUCUUCGCGCGCUCGAACAUCUCCGUUUGGCCUCAUUUUUGUGCUUCGGUGGUAUCUGCACAGCCCAAAUUAGCAGCGAGGAUUCCACGGACGGGGGCCGCCGCCUCCCUCGGCUCCCAGGUGAGGUCCCGGGGCGGGGGGCGGCCGGCAGCGCUCCGGGCUUUCUCCACAUCGCCCCCUCGCCCGGCUCUGCUUGGCCAGGCCGGGGGCUGACCGGAGGUGCGGGGGGAGAAUUUUGGGUUGUAGCGGGACAAUCUGGGGAGUGGGGGAGGAGGGGAGGGGNGGGGGGGGGGGGGCCGUGUCAGCUUCUUUACCCGAACUUCAGUGCAGCACGCCAGAGCUGUUGCGUGUGGCGGCGUGUGCUCAGACAGAUCCAAGGCUCUCGGGAGCAGGGAAAUCCAGGAUUUUUCAUCUGCUGCCUGGUGCAGUCAUCAGGGUGACUCUCGCUGCCGUCAGUGGGUGCUGGAUUUGGCCACUCUAGAAUUAUUGCUCAAACGGGUGGGAGAGGGCUUGGCUGCCCUGAACACCAGUUUUGUGCUUGUGCUCAAACGAGUGAACACUUCUUAUGUGUGUGAGUUUGAACAACGCUUUCUACCUUUUCUAAUUCGGAUAAUUUUAGGGAUGCAUCUGCACAAGUGAAGGUUCCUGUGUCCUUAUGGGCUUCUCACAGGGUAUACAAAAUUGACAGAGGCGCCUCAGUUUGCAUCUAAGGGCACAGGAAGCUUUCACAUGGUAAAACAAACUAUAAAAAUGAAUUGUGUUUUCUUUAAAAUGAUUGCUAUAGAAAUUAGCCAACUGAUUUAGCAGGGUAAAUUGAAAGUAGCCCUUUCUGGCUGAAGUUAAAGUACAUGCAUUUUUACAUAAUAGGAUGGUAUCUUUGGGCUCUGAUUUAACAUGAUGACCUAGGGGUGGUGGUAGAGGCAGGAGGAGGAUUAGGAGUUUGUGCUGCUGGACAGGUAUCCGAGAGCGUGUCCUUCGGAAUACUUCCAUUGUUCAGGCAAGUAUUGCAGCCUCCAGUGUAACAGCUCCAGAUAUUCCUCCUCUCGUGACUGAUCCUGCUUCCAUUUAAGUUGGUAGCAGCAACCACCCACUCCUUUUCUGCAGGAACUGGAUUGGACUGCUAAGGAACGAAGCUAGACUUUGUGCAUAUUAAAACACUGCUUUGAUUUUUGUGUCAAGCUCAUUUCUUUUUCUCUGAAGUUGAUUGAAAACAAACAAAAAGAAACUUGAUAGCCAUAGGUCCUUCAGGUUUUGUCUGUAGAUGAAGCAUUCUUAAAGAGCAUUAAAUACAUCUGUAGGUGCUGAUUUAUUAAGAGAUGUAAUUGUGUUCCUUUAUACACCUGCUCUUUUUAAUGGGAAAGAUGAAAUAGUUUCACAGGGGAAAUAAUAACAUAAAUAUACCAAGUGCUCAGAUUGUCUGCCUGAGAGGCAUCAAGGACUUUGAGAUAAUGUCCUAAUAACAAGGAAACACUCAAACUUCAUAUUCAAAAUUUAUUUUUUUAGCUUCCAUGGAGUACAGCAGGUUUUGUGCAGUAUCUAGUUUGAAGGAUUUUGCCAUCAUUCACACAAGCUGCUUUUAUUUUUUCAAUAAAUAUUUCAUUGGGAAAACA
ensembl:lncRNA